rnacentral:rRNA from 1 species
UAGGGAAUAUUGCACAAUGGGCGAAAGCCUGAUGCAGCAACGCCGCGUGCGCGAUGAAGGCCUUCGGGUUGUAAAGCGCUUUUCGGGGAGAAGAGGAAGGACGGUAUCCCCGGAAUAAGGCUCGGCUAACUACGUGCCAGCAGCCGCGGUAAAACGUAGGAGCCAAGCGUUAUCCGAAUUCACUGGGCGUAAAGCGCGUGCAGGCGGUCUGGUAAGUUGGAUGUGAAAUCUCCUGGCUCAACUGGGAGAGGCCGUUCAAGACUGUCAGACUAGAGGGCGACAGAGGGAGGUGGAAUUCCGGGUGUAGUGGUGAAAUGCGUAGAUAUCCGGAGGAACACCAGAGGCGAAGGCGACCUCCUGGGUCGCACCUGACGCUGAGAUGCGAAAGCUAGGGGAGCGAACGG